rnacentral:rRNA from 1 species
CCUACGGGAGGCAGCAGUGAGGAAUAUUGGUCCAUGGACGAGAGUCUGAACCAGCCAAGUAGCGUGAAGGAUGACUGCCCUAUGGGUUGUAAACUUCUUUUAUAUGGGAAUAAAAUGUUCCACGUGUGCGUUUUUGUAUGUACCUUAUGAAUAAGGAUCGGCUAACUCCGUGCCAGCAGCCGCGGUAAUACGGAGGAUCCGAGCGUUAUCCGGAUUUAUUGGGUUUAAAGGGAGCGUAGGUGGAUUGUUAAGUCAGUUGUGAAAGUUUGCGGCUCAACCGUAAAAUUGCAGUUGAUACUGGCAGUCUUGAGUACAGUAGAGGUAGGCGGAAUUCGUGGUGUAGCGGUGAAAUGCUUAGAUAGCACGAAGAACUCCGAUUGCGAAGGCAGCUCACUGAACUGCAACUGACACUGAGGCUCGAAAGUGUGGGUAUCAAACAGGAUUAGAUACCCUAGUAGUC